GGAGUUCCCAUUGUAUCCGGGAAAAGCGUACAUAUUUUGCNGGAACACCUGUGGGCGAAGGGCGUUCUCUGGUCUGUGUCUGUCGCUGAGGCUCGAAAACGUGGGGAGCACACAGGUUUCUGAUACCCUGGUAGGCCUCGCCGUAAACGAUGAGUGCUUAGUGUCUGAGGGUCUGCACCCUUUUAGUGCUGGUGCUAAAGCAUUAAGCACUCCGCCUGGGGAGNACGUCCGCUAAGGUUUAAACUCAAAGGGAUUGACGGGGGCCGCACAAGCGGUGGAGCAUGUGGUUUAAUUCGAAGCAACGCGGAGAACCCUACCAGGUCUUGACAUCCUUUGACCACUCUAGAGAUAGAGCUUUCCUUCGGGGGCAAAGUGACAGGUGGUGCAUGGUUGUCGUCAGCUCGUGUCGUGAGAUGUUGGGUUAAGUCCCGCAACGAGCGCAACCCUUAUUGUUAGUUGCCAUCAUUUAGUUGGGCACUCUAGCAAGACUGCCGGUGACAAACCGGAGGAAGGUGGGGAUGACGUCAAAUCCUCAUGCCCCUUAUGACCUGGGCUACACACGUGCUACAAUGGGAAGUACAACGAGUCGCGAAGUCGCGAGGCUAAGCUAAUCUCUUAAAGCUUCUCUCAGUUCGGAUUGUAGGCUGCAACUCGCCUACAUGAAGCCGGAAUCGCUAGUAAUCGCGGAUCAACACGCCGCGGUGAAUACGUUUCCCGGGCCUUGUACACACCGCCCGUCUCACCCACGAGAGUUUGUAACACCCGAAGUUAGUAGUAGGUAAGAUCCUUAAGGCGGCCAGGAGGCCUGACUCUAAGUUCCUGCGCCGC
rnacentral:rRNA from 1 species